UACGUAGGAGACUAGCGUUGUCCGGAAUUACUGGGUGUAAAGCGCGUGUAGGCGGCAUACCAAGUCUGUUGUGAAAUCGCCCGGCUCAACUGGGCGGGGUCAAUGGAAACUGGUAAGCUGGAGGACGGUAGAGGCGAGUGGAAUUCCCGGUGUAGUGGUGAAAUGCGUAGAUAUUGGGAAGAACACCGGUGGCGAAGGCGGCGACCUGGUCCUUGACUGACGCUGAGGCGCGAAAGCGUGGGGAGCAAACAGG
rnacentral:rRNA from 1 species